UACGUAGGGGCAAGUGUUGUCCGGAUUUUAUUGGGCGUAAAGAGCGUGUAGGCGGCCAGGUAGGUCAGCUGUGAAAACUCGAGGCUCAACCUCGAGACGCCGGUUUGAAACCAUCUGGCUAGAGUCCGGAAGAGGAGAGUGGAAUUCCUGGUGUAGCGGUGAAAUGCGCAGAUAUCAGGAAGAACACCAAUGGCGAAGGCAGCUCUCUGGGACGGUACUG
rnacentral:rRNA from 1 species